rnacentral:rRNA from 1 species
CCUACGGGAGGCAGCAGUGAGGAAUAUUGGACAAUGGGCGCAAGCCUGAUCCAGCCAUGCCGCGUGCAGGAAGACGGUCCUAUGGAUUGUAAACUGCUUUUGUACAGGAAGAAACACUCCCUCGUGAGGGAGCUUGACGGUACUGUAAGAAUAAGGAUCGGCUAACUCCGUGCCAGCAGCCGCGGUAAUACGGAGGAUCCAAGCGUUAUCCGGAAUCAUUGGGUUUAAAGGGUCCGUAGGCGGUUUAAUAAGUCAGUGGUGAAAUCUGGUCGCUCAACGAUCAAACGGCCAUUGAUACUGUUAGACUUGAAUUAUUAGGAAGUAACUAGAAUAUGUAGUGUAGCGGUGAAAUGCUUAGAUAUUACAUGGAAUACCAAUUGCGAAGGCAGGUUACUACUAAUGGAUUGACGCUGAUGGACGAAAGCGUGGGGAGCGAACAGGAUUAGAUACCCUGGUAGUCCACGCCGUAAACGAUGGAUACUAGCUGUUCGGAGCAAUCUGAGUGGCUAAGCGAAAGUGAUAAGUAUCCCACCUGGGGAGUACGUUCGCAAGAAUGAAAACUCAAAGGAAUUGACGGCUGAGAGAGCGAGACGACGACGAGGGAGGAGG